CAACAGGCAGCCUGCCUCUUGGAUUAGACCAGCUGUGGACGGUCUCAGUAUCCUCUCUUGCAGCGCUGGCUAUUGUCAAUUUGUGAAUGUCCCUAAUUCCUUUACACAUAGAGGUUUUAAAUCUCAUCUUGGAUUCCUUGUUUUCCUCAUCUGUGUGGAUCCUGGUACCUAAACAGGCCAUCCCCAGGAGGGGGCAACCCUGCGCAAGUCUGAUCUCUAGCUAAUGAGGAUCAGAGAGCUGGGACACACCCUACAGUUUAGAUGAAAGAGCCUUUCUCCUUGCAGUGGAUGUGGGUGAUACAAAACAACAGGCACCACGAUGUCCCACACCAUAAUCAAGUAUAAAAGGCUGAAGUGCCGAGAAUCGUGCCCCAGCAAACCAGCUGGUUCCUGAGAGCUUUUAGUCAGCUCAGAACUUUGAAGGGUUUCUCAGGAGAUCAAAGCUGGAGGAGUUGCGUGCCUGGGUCCCACUACAGACCUAUGAUGACAUCCGUCACAGAACCAGGAAAGAUGCAGAACCAAGAAAGAUGCAGAGACAGGAGGGAGCCUACAGGAGCAGAGAUGUCUCAGCCUUCCUAACUCCCGCUGGAUCCUGCAUCUCAGAUCGUGUGUAGAUUGAACAGUUGAGGCCUGCCACUAAUCUCUU
rnacentral:lncRNA from 1 species